CAGUCGCACGGGAAUACGUAGGUGGCGAGCGUUGUCCGGAAUUAUUGGGCGUAAAGGGAGCGCAGGCGGUUAGAUAAGUCUGAAGUUAAAGGCUGUGGCUUAACCAUAGUACGCUUUGGAAACUGUUUAACUUGAGUGCAAGAGGGGAGAGUGGAAUUCCAUGUGUAGCGGUGAAAUGCGUAGAUAUAUGGAGGAACACCGGUGGCGAAAGCGGCUCUCUGGCUUGUAACUGACGCUGAGGCUCGAAAGCGUGGGGAGCAAACAGGAUUAGAUACCCCGGUAGUCCCUGUCUCUUAUACAC
rnacentral:rRNA from 1 species